UACAGAGGUGGCAAGCGUUGUUCGGAAUUACUGGGCGUAAAGGGCGCGUAGGCGGCCUUCUAAGUCAGACGUGAAAUCCCCCGGCUUAACCUGGGAACUGCGUCUGAUACUGGAAGGCUUGAGUGCGGGAGAGGGAUGUGGAAUUCCAGGUGUAGCGGUGAAAUGCGUAGAGAUGGGGGAGAACACUCGUGGCGAAGGCGGCCAGCUAGACCAGUUCUGACACUGAGGCGCGACAGCGUGGGGAGCAAACAGG
rnacentral:rRNA from 1 species